rnacentral:rRNA from 1 species
GGGUUGUGAGGUUAAGCGACUAAGCGUACACGGUGGAUGCCCUGGCAGUCAGAGGCGAUGAAGGACGUGCUAAUCUGCGAUAAGCGUCGGUAAGGUGAUAUGAACCGUUAUAACCGGCGAUUUCCGAAUGGGGAAACCCAGUGUGAUUCGUCACACUAUCAUUAACUGAAUCCAUAGGUUAAUGAGGCGAACCGGGGGAACUGAAACAUCUAAGUACCCCGAGGAAAAGAAAUCAACCGAGAUUCCCCCAGUAGCGGCGAGCGAACGGGGAGCAGCCCAGAGCCUGAAUCAGUGUGUGUGUUAGUGGAAGCGUCUGGAAAGGCGUGCGAUACAGGGUGACAGCCCCGUACACAAAAAUGCACAUACUGUGAGCUCGAUGAGUAGGGCGGGACACGUGGUAUCCUGUCUGAAUAUGGGGGGACCAUCCUCCAAGGCUAAAUACUCCUGACUGACCGAUAGUGAACCAGUACCGUGAGGGAAAGGCGAAAAGAACCCCGGCGAGGGGAGUGAAAAAGAACCUGAAACCGUGUACGUACAAGCAGUGGGAGCACGCUUAGGCGUGUGACUGCGUACCUUUUGUAUAAUGGGUCAGCGACUUAUAUUCUGUAGCAAGGUUAACCGAAUAGGGGAGCCGAAGGGAAACCGAGUCUUAACUGGGCGUUAAGUUGCAGGGUAUAGACCCGAAACCCGGUGAUCUAGCCAUGGGCAGGUUGAAGGUUGGGUAACACUAACUGGAGGACCGAACCGACUAAUGUUGAAAAAUUAGCGGAUGACUUGUGGCUGGGGGUGAAAGGCCAAUCAAACCGGGAGAUAGCUGGUUCUCCCCGAAAGCUAUUUAGGUAGCGCCUCGUGAAUUCAUCUCCGGGGGUAGAGCACUGUUUCGGCAAGGGGGUCAUCCCGACUUACCAACCCGAUGCAAACUGCGAAUACCGGAGAAUGUUAUCACGGGAGACACACGGCGGGUGCUAACGUCCGUCGUGAAGAGGGAAACAACCCAGACCGCCAGCUAAGGUCCCAAAGUCAUGGUUAAGUGGGAAACGAUGUGGGAAGGCCCAGACAGCCAGGAUGUUGGCUUAGAAGCAGCCAUCAUUUAAAGAAAGCGUAAUAGCUCACUGGUCGAGUCGGCCUGCGCGGAAGAUGUAACGGGGCUAAACCAUGCACCGAAGCUGCGGCAGCGACGCUUAUGCGUUGUUGGGUAGGGGAGCGUUCUGUAAGCCUGUGAAGGUGUACUGUGAGGUAUGCUGGAGGUAUCAGAAGUGCGAAUGCUGACAUAAGUAACGAUAAAGCGGGUGAAAAGCCCGCUCGCCGGAAGACCAAGGGUUCCUGUCCAACGUUAAUCGGGGCAGGGUGAGUCGACCCCUAAGGCGAGGCCGAAAGGCGUAGUCGAUGGGAAACAGGUUAAUAUUCCUGUACUUGGUGUUACUGCGAAGGGGGGACGGAGAAGGCUAUGUUGGCCGGGCGACGGUUGUCCCGGUUUAAGCGUGUAGGCUGGUUUUCCAGGCAAAUCCGGAAAAUCAAGGCCGAGGCGUGAUGACGAGGCACUACGGUGCUGAAGCAACAAAUGCCCUGCUUCCAGGAAAAGCCUCUAAGCAUCAGGUAACAUCAAAUCGUACCCCAAACCGACACAGGUGGUCAGGUAGAGAAUACCAAGGCGCUUGAGAGAACUCGGGUGAAGGAACUAGGCAAAAUGGUGCCGUAACUUCGGGAGAAGGCACGCUGAUACGUAGGUGAAGCGACUUGCUCGUGGAGCUGAAAUCAGUCGAAGAUACCAGCUGGCUGCAACUGUUUAUUAAAAACACAGCACUGUGCAAACACGAAAGUGGACGUAUACGGUGUGACGCCUGCCCGGUGCCGGAAGGUUAAUUGAUGGGGUUAGCGCAAGCGAAGCUCUUGAUCGAAGCCCCGGUAAACGGCGGCCGUAACUAUAACGGUCCUAAGGUAGCGAAAUUCCUUGUCGGGUAAGUUCCGACCUGCACGAAUGGCGUAAUGAUGGCCAGGCUGUCUCCACCCGAGACUCAGUGAAAUUGAACUCGCUGUGAAGAUGCAGUGUACCCGCGGCAAGACGGAAAGACCCCGUGAACCUUUACUAUAGCUUGACACUGAACAUUGAGCCUUGAUGUGUAGGAUAGGUGGGAGGCUUUGAAGUGUGGACGCCAGUCUGCAUGGAGCCGACCUUGAAAUACCACCCUUUAAUGUUUGAUGUUCUAACGUGGACCCGUAAUCCGGGUUGCGGACAGUGUCUGGUGGGUAGUUUGACUGGGGCGGUCUCCUCCUAAAGAGUAACGGAGGAGCACGAAGGUUGGCUAAUCCUGGUCGGACAUCAGGAGGUUAGUGCAAUGGCAUAAGCCAGCUUGACUGCGAGCGUGACGGCGCGAGCAGGUGCGAAAGCAGGUCAUAGUGAUCCGGUGGUUCUGAAUGGAAGGGCCAUCGCUCAACGGAUAAAAGGUACUCCGGGGAUAACAGGCUGAUACCGCCCAAGAGUUCAUAUCGACGGCGGUGUUUGGCACCUCGAUGUCGGCUCAUCACAUCCUGGGGCUGAAGUAGGUCCCAAGGGUAUGGCUGUUCGCCAUUUAAAGUGGUACGCGAGCUGGGUUUAGAACGUCGUGAGACAGUUCGGUCCCUAUCUGCCGUGGGCGCUGGAGAACUGAGGGGGGCUGCUCCUAGUACGAGAGGACCGGAGUGGACGCAUCACUGGUGUUCGGGUUGUCAUGCCAAUGGCACUGCCCGGUAGCUAAAUGCGGAAGAGAUAAGUGCUGAAAGCAUCUAAGCACGAAACUUGCCCCGAGAUGAGUUCUCCCUGACCCUUUAAGGGUCCUGAAGGAACGUUGAAGACGACGACGUUGAUAGGCCGGGUGUGUAAGCGCAGCGAUGCGUUGAGCUAACCGGUACUAAUGAACCGUGAGGCUUAACCUUACAACGCCGAAGGUGUUU